rnacentral:rRNA from 1 species
AAAUUUGGUUUGGUUACUGGGAAAUUUUCCUAACUUUUUUAUAUAAUAUUUAAAAAAUGUAAAUAGAAAAUUUAAUUUAUUUAAUAAUUAAAAAUUAUUGAGAGUUAGAAAUAAAUUCUAGCUAAAUUUGUGCCAGCAGCAGCGGUUAAACAAAUAGAAUUUUUCCCCUUUUAAUUUAAUUUAAAAAAAAAAUUAUAUAAAAUGUUAUUAAAAUUAAAGGUGAAAUUUAAUUUUAAUUUUUAAUUAGAUAAAAUUGGAAUUUUGAUUUUAAACUAGGAUUAGAUACCCUAUUAUUAUGAAGCUAAACAUUGUAAGUAAAUAUUAAUUAUAAAAGCAAAAAAUUAUGGCGGUAUCUUAAGCUUUUCAGAGGAAUUUGCUCUGUAAUGGAUAAAACACCUAAAUCUUACUUUAAUUAGUAAAAUCAAUUUGUAUACCACUAUUAAAAUAAUAAUAUACAAUUAUUAUUAGAAUAUAAUUUAUAUAAUAAAUUAAGUCAAGGUGCAGUAAAAAUUAAAGAAUGAAGUGAAUUACAUUUCUUUUUAGAAAAAAAAAUGAAAAAUUAUCUCGGAUUUGAAAGUAAAAUUGAAAUAGUAUGUUAAUUUGAAUUUAGCUCUAAGAUAUGUACAUAUCGCCCGUCACUCUUUUUAAGAUAAGUCGUAACAAAGUUAAAAUACUGGAAAGUGUUUU